AUUGAACGCUGGCGGCAGGCCUAACACAUGCAAGUCGAGCGGCUGAAGGGAGCUUGCUCCUGGAUUCAGCGGCGGACGGGUGAGUAAUGCCUAGGAAUCUUCCUGGUAGUGGGGGAUAACGUCCGGAAACGGGCGCUAAUACCGCAUACGUCCUGCGGGAGAAAGUGGGGGAUCUUCGGACCUCACGCUAUCAGAUGAGCCUAGGUCGGAUUAGCUAGUUGGUGGGGUAAAGGCCUACCAAGGCGACGAUCCGUAACUGGUCUGAGAGGAUGAUCAGUCACACUGGAACUGAGACACGGUCCAGACUCCUACGGGAGGCAGCAGUGGGGAAUAUUGGACAAUGGGCGAAAGCCUGAUCCAGCCAUGCCGCGUGUGUGAAGAAGGUCUUCGGAUUGUAAAGCACUUUAAGUUGGGAGGAAGGGCAGUAAGUUAAUACCUUGCUGUGUUGACGUUACCAACAGAAUAAGCAGCGGCUAACUUCGUG
rnacentral:rRNA from 1 species